rnacentral:lncRNA from 1 species
CCCUAUGAUCUGAUGAUGUUGUUGAGCUAGCUUCUUUGAAGUGGACAAAGUAUCCCAGGUCUAUCAAAAUGUGUUUCAAAUUAUUUUCCCAUUCUUUACCAGCAUAACAAGUACCCAGAUUAAAGUUGUAAAUAUAAUUUCGAAUCUAAUUUAAGUUUGAAUUUAAAUUUAAAUUUAAUUUAAAAUCUAAAGUUUCUUUUUUUUUGAGAAAACAGGGAUAUACCCUAUUUGUGAUUGAAGUAAAGCUAGGGGGGGUUAAAAUCUAAAGUUUUAUUCAAAUUUUAUUUAAAAUUUAUGG